rnacentral:hammerhead_ribozyme from 1 species
AUCCAGAUGAAGAGUCGCAAAUAGGAUGAAACGCGCGCCGUAGAU